CCUUCAAUAGCUCAGUUGGUAGAGUGGAGGACUGGUAAUCCUUAGGUCGCUGGUUCAAAUCUGGCUCGAAGGA